rnacentral:rRNA from 1 species
CGUCUAUAUACGUAUUAGCAUAUCAAUAAGCGGAGGAAAAGAAACUAACAAGGAUCCCCCUAGUAACGGCGAGUGAAGCGGGAAGAGCUCAAAUUUGAAAUCUUAAAGGGUUUCCCUUUACGAAUUGUAGUUUAAAGAAGUGUUUUCUGUUGAGUUUCGGUAAAAGUUCUUUGGAAUAGGACAUCAUAGAGGGUGAGAAUCCCAUAUUUGGUUAUUCAUUCUAGCUUUGUGAUACACUUUCAAAGAGUCGGAUUGUUUGGGAAUGCAGUCCAAAAUGGGUGGUAAAUUUCAUCUAAAGCUAAAUAUUGGCGAGAGACCGAUAGCGAACAAGUACCGUGAGGGAAAGAUGAAAAGAACUUUGAAAAGAGAGUUAAACAGUACGUGAAAUUGUCAAAAGGGAAGCGUUUGACACCAGUGUUGUUUUUCCGAAAAUCAAUUACGAAUGGCUUGAUUUUGUGUUGUAUUGGACCUUAUCAGCUUUCUGCACUUUUUUCGAGUCUUUCUUAAUGCACUUUUCGGUUAACAAGUCAACAUCAAUUUCCUUUGUUGUAAAAGAGUAAGUCGGAAGGUGGCUUUCAAUUUCGGUGAAAGUGUUUAUAGCCUAUACUUCUAGCAGUCGGAGAGAUUGAGGUCUGCAGCGUAGAUCCUUCGGGGUUAGAUACAUUUAUGCUAAGUUAUAGCUUUUCAUAGACAACUUGUUGACUAUGUUUAGUCAUGCGGCUUACUCGCUUAGUGCUAUUUUACCUACGCUUAGGAUGUUGACUGAUAUGUAGUCGUA